rnacentral:rRNA from 1 species
AUUGAACGCUGGCGGCAGGCCUAACACAUGCAAGUCGAACGAGUGGCGGACGGGUGAGUAAUGUCUGGGAAACUGCCCGAUGGAGGGGGCUAACUACUGGAAACGGUAGCUAAUACCGCAUGCCAGCGGAUGUGCCCAGAUGGGAUUAGCGAGUAGGUGGGGUAACGGCUGACCAAGGCGACGAUCCCUAGCUGGUCUGAGAGGAUGACCAGCCACACUGGAACUGAGACACGGUCCAGACUCCUACGGGAGGCAGCAGUGGGGAAUAGUGCACAAUGGGCGCAAGCCUGACGCAGCCAUGCCGCGUGUAUGAAGAAGGCUUUCGGGUUGUAAAGUACUUUCAGCGGGGAGGCGUUACCCGCAGAAGAAGCACCGGCUAACUACGUGCCAGCAGCCGCGGUAAUAC